rnacentral:rRNA from 1 species
CGAACGAUGAAGCCCAGCUUGCUGGGUGGAUUAGUGGCGAACGGGUGAGUAACACGUGAGUAACCUGCCCCUGACUCUGGGAUAAGCCCGGGAAACUGGGUCUAAUACCGGAUAUGACCUUUGACCGCAUGGUCGAGGGUGGAAAGAUUUAUCGGUUGGGGAUGGACUCGCGGCCUAUCAGCUUGUUGGUGAGGUAAUGGCUCACCAAGGCGACGACGGGUAGCCGGCCUGAGAGGGUGACCGGCCACACUGGGACUGAGACACGGCCCAGACUCCUACGGGAGGCAGCAGUGGGGAAUAUUGCACAAUGGGCGAAAGCCUGAUGCAGCGACGCCGCGUGAGGGAUGACGGCCUUCGGGUUGUAAACCUCUUUCAGUAGGGAAGAAGCGAGAGUGACGGUACCUGCAGAAGAAGCGCCGGCUAACUACGUGCCAGCAGCCGCGGUAAUACGUAGGGCGCAAGCGUUAUCCGGAUUUAUUGGGCGUAAAGAGCUCGUAGGCGGUUUGUCGCGUCUGCCGUGAAAGUCCGAGGCUCAACCUCGGAUCUGCGGUGGGUACGGGCAGACUAGAGUGAUGUAGGGGAGACUGGAAUUCCUGGUGUAGCGGUGAAAUGCGCAGAUAUCAGGAGGAACACCGAUGGCGAAGGCAGGUCUCUGGGCAUUUACUGACGCUGAGGAGCGAAAGCAUGGGGAGCGAACAGGAUUAGAUACCCUGGUAGUCCAUGCCGUAAACGUUGGGCACUAGGUGUGGGGGACAUUCCACGUUUUC